ensembl:lncRNA
CUGUCUCUCUCUCUCUCCGUUGUCAGGACUGUCUCUCUCUCUCUCUCCUUUGUCAGGUCUCUCUCUCUCUCCUUUGUCAGGUCUCUCUCUCUCUCUCCUUUGUCAGGACUCUCUCUCUCUCUCUCUCCUUUGUCAGGACUCUCUCUCUCUCUCUCUCUCUCUGUUGUCAGGACUGUCUCUCUCUCUCUCUCCUUUGUCAGGACUCUCUCUCUCUCUCUCUCUGUUGUCAGGACUGUCUCUCUCUCUCUCUCUCUCUCCGUUGUCAGGACUGUCUCUCUCUCUCUCCGUUGUCAGGACUGUCUCUCUCUCUCUCCGUUGUCAGGACUCUCUCUCUCUCUCCGUUGUCAGGACUGUCUCUCUCUCUCUCCGUUGUCAGGACUGUCUCUCUCUCUCUCUCCUUUGUCAGGUCUCUCUCUCUCUCCUUUGUCAGGUCUCUCUCUCUCUC